AACUGUUCUCCCAGGAUGAACAAACCUGAGAGAAAAAGGCUGAAAAGCAGGAUCACCCUCUCGAACUACAGGGAACUCAAAGGGUGGAGAAUCAGGAGGGUCUGGGGAGGGAGACCUAGGAGGCUGCCUACUAGACUGACCUCUAAAGUAUGGGUGUCUACGGGCUGUGGAUUUUCUACCCAUUUUACCCAAACAACAGCUACAGAGGCAAAUGAAAAAAAAUAAAAGAACUAACCAUAAGCAGCAAUACCACAAAACUCAGCCCAAAACCAACAUAAAAA
rnacentral:lncRNA from 1 species